CUCAUCUAAAAAUGCAGUAGGGUUAGUAUCCAUGGAUUCAGGAGUUUCCUUAGAUGUCAGGGGUCUACUCUACUAGAUUCCGGUCCUAUCUUUCAAACGGCCUUUGACAGGUAGGUACACUCACCCAUCAAACGGAUUUCUCAACUUUAUUAAAAUGUAAUCUGUCACUGUUUUUACUCUGGAAAAUUUACACAGGCAUGCAUUUACACUUCGUCUUUCCACCAGAAGCUCAAUUUUAGGAGACAGAAACGAAUUUGUCAACACUUUUCGAAUGAAGGAAUACAUACAAAAUGCGUCGCCCUUAACACAACGAUAAAAAGGAGAUGUGGAAGAAAAGGUGAAAUAUGAAAAUACAUUGUAACUGUCGUUGGCAAAGAAAAAAGAUGAAAACGUCGCAAAAAAAUAAUAGCAUACUCAAGAUUUGAGAUCUAAGUGAUGAAUCCUGUAUUUCCAAGUGGAGGAAAUGGCCUCCGUGCUAGCCGCAAAUAACUGGGCCUUCUGUUAUUUGUUGAGCAAAUUACUGGGAGCUGAAAAAUAAGAGGCAUGCAAAAUCACCUUACAGCUGACUUGUUCAGCAAAGUUCAGUGGAUGUAAGGGGUGAAAGCUGUACCUGGCAAGAAAUAAGAGAAAUUCAGCAGGCUAAAAAAAAAUGCUGCCUCCCACUGCUGCCUAUUAAAUAAGUCUUACAAUAUUGUCAGUGGCACCUGGGUUUUACUCAAAGUCAGGGAGAGAAAAUGGAAUCUUGGCAGAUUAAAGCAAUACUCGUGCUGAAAAUGUAAACGCACGUACAGAGAUACACACGUGCACACACACACACACACACACACACAACACACACACAGAGUAUGUAAUUUUUUUCGUUUGUUUCUCUUCAGGCAAAUUAGAGUGUGGACUUCCUGGCUAAUUACCCUUAUCCUGACUCCCAGAGAGCCGACCGCCUUCUCAAUAACUUACAGAAAGAGAAGUUGGAGAAGGUUAUUAACUAAGUUAUAGAACAACACUAUAAAAUUGGAUCAUGUUGACCAGGCUGCUAUUGACCAAGCCACCAUUGUUCACUGUCAUAUAGUAUAUACAUGUUCAUGUUCUUAUAUUAUAAAAAAUGUCUGGGGAAUUUUCUGUCUAAGAUCAGCAGUCAACAGUAUCUGCCCUCCCUAAACUGAGAUACACUAAACUAUUAUCAAGAGUUGAGUACAAUUCCAUCAUUCUAAGUAAUCUAGACCCAGAGUCAACCUUUAAAAAACAGAGAGAAAUAAAUAC
rnacentral:lncRNA from 1 species